rnacentral:rRNA from 1 species
GUCUACGGCCACGCUACCCUGAACACACUCGAUCCCGUCUGAUCUGGGAAGCUAAGCGGGGGCGAGCUUGGUUAGUACUUGAAUGGGAGACCACCUAGGAAGACCAGGUGCUGUAGGCG